rnacentral:rRNA from 1 species
GAUGAACGCUGGCGGCGUGCCUAAUACAUGCAAGUCGAGCGAACAGACGAGAGUGCUUGCACUCUCUGACGUUAGCGGCGGACGGGUGAGUAACACGUGGGUAACCUACCUAUAAGACUGGGAUAACUUCGGGAAACCGGAGCUAAUACCGGAUAAUAUUUAGCUUCGCAUGAAGCAAUAGUGAAAGACGGUUCUGCUGUCACUUAUAGAUGGACCCGCGGUGUAUUAGCUAGUUGGUGAGGUAACGGCUCACCAAGGCAACGAUACAUAGCCGACCUGAGAGGGUGAUCGGCCACACUGGGACUGAGACACGGCCCAGACUCCUACGGGAGGCAGCAGUAGGGAAUCUUCCGCAAUGGACGAAAGUCUGACGGAGCAAUGCCGCGUGAGUGAAGAAGGUUUUCGGAUUGUAAAACUCUGUUGUAAGGGAAGAACAAGUACGUUAGUAACUGAACGUACCUUGACGGUACCUUACCAGAAAGCCACGGCUAACUACGUG